GUCGAGCGGAACGAGUUAUCUGAACCUUCGGGGAAUGAUAACGGCGUCGAGCGGCGGACGGGUGAGUAAUGCCUAGGAAAUUGCCCUGAUGUGGGGGAUAACCAUUGGAAACGAUGGCUAAUACCGCAUAAUACCUACGGGUCAAAGAGGGGGACCUUCGGGCCUCUCGCGUCAGGAUAUGCCCAGGUGGGAUUAGCUAGUUGGUGAGGUAAUGGCUCACCAAGGCGACGAUCCCUAGCUGGUCUGAGAGGAUGAUCAGCCACACUGGAACUGAGACACGGUCCAGACUCCUACGGGAGGCAGCAGUGGGGAAUAUUGCACAAUGGGGGAAACCCUGAUGCAGCCAUGCCGCGUGUGUGAAGAAGGCCUUCGGGUUGUAAAGCACUUUCAGUAGGGAGGAAGGUAGUGUAGUUAACACCUGCAUUAUUUGACGUUACCUACAGAAGAAGCACCGGCUAACUCCGUGCCAGCAGCCGCGGUAAUACGGAGGGUGCGAGCGUUAAUCGGAAUUACUGGGCGUAAAGCGCAUGCAGGCGGACUGUUAAGUCAGAUGUGAAAGCCCGGGGCUUAACCUCGGAAUUGCAUUUGAAACUGGCAGGCUAGAGACUUGUAGAGGGGGGUAGAAUUUCAGGUGUAGCGGUGAAAUGCGUAGAGAUCUGAAGGAAUACCAGUGGCGAACGGCCCCCUGGACAAAGACUGACGCUCAGAUGCGAAAGCGUGGGGAGCAAACAGGAUUAGAUACCCUG
rnacentral:rRNA from 1 species